rnacentral:rRNA from 1 species
GAUGAACGCUGGCGGCGUGCUUAACACAUGCAAGUCGAACGAAGCACUUAUCUUUGCUUCUUCGGAUGAAGAGGUUUGUGACUGAGUGGCGGACGGGUGAGUAACGCGUGGGUAACCUGCCUCAUACAGGGGGAUAACAGUUAGAAAUGACUGCUAAUACCGCAUACGACCACGGAGCCGCAUGGCUCAGUGGGAAAAACUCCGGUGGUAUGAGAUGGACCCGCGUCUGAUUAGGUAGUUGGUGGGGUAACGGCCUACCAAGCCAACGAUCAGUAGCCGACCUGAGAGGGUGACCGGCCACAUUGGGACUGAGACACGGCCCAAACUCCUACGGGAGGCAGCAGUGGGGAAUAUUGCACAAUGGGGGAAACCCUGAUGCAGCGACGCCGCGUGAGCGAAGAAGUAUUUCGGUAUGUAAAGCUCUAUCAGCAGGGAAGAAAAUGACGGUACCUGACUAAGAAGCACCGGCUAAAUACGUG